UACAGAGACUGCAAGCGUUAUUCGGAUUCACUGGGCGUAAAGGGUGCGCAGGCGGCCAAGUGUGUGAGGCGUGAAAGCCCGGGGCUUAACCCCGGAAUUGCACCUCAAACUACAUGGCUAGAGCAUUGGAGAGGGUAGCGGAAUUCACGGUGUAGCAGUGAAAUGCGUAGAUAUCUGGAGGAACACCGGUGGCGAAGGCGGCAUCCUGGACCAAUAUUGACGCUGAGGAGCGAAAGCCAGGGGAGCAAACGGG
rnacentral:rRNA from 1 species